rnacentral:rRNA from 1 species
GAGUUUGAUCCUGGCUCAGGAUGAACGCUAGCGGCAGGCUUAAUACAUGCAAGUCGUGGGGCAGCAGGGGUAGUAAUACUCGCUGGCGACCGGCAAACGGGUGCGCAAUACGUACGCAACCUUCCUUUAAGCGGGGAAUAGCCCAGAGAAAUUUGGAUUAAUACCCCAUAGUAUAUUGAAGAGGCAUCUUUUUAAUAUUAAAGCUCCGGCACUUAAAGAUGGGCGUACGGCUGAUUAGGUAGUUGGCGGGGUAACGGCCCACCAAGCCUACGAUCAGUAGCUGAUGUGAGAGCAUGAUCAGCCACACGGGCACUGAGACACGGGCCCGACUCCUACGGGAGGCAGCAGUAAGGAAUAUUAGUCAAUGGACGCAAGUCUGAACCAGCCAUGCCGCGUGGAGGAUGAAGGUCCUCUGGAUUGUAAACUUCUUUUAUCUGAGACGAAACCUACUUUUUCUAAGGUAGCUGACGGUACCAGAUGAAUAAGCACCGGCUAACUCCGUGCCAGCAGCCGCGGUAAUACGGAGGGUGCAAGCGUUAUCCGGAUUCACUGGGUUUAAAGGGUGCGUAGGUGGGUAUGUAAGUCAGAGGUGAAAUCCCCGAGCUUAACUUGGGAACUGCCUUUGAUACUAUAUAUCUUGAAUGUCGUAGAGGUUAGCGGAAUAUGUCAUGUAGCGGUGAAAUGCAUAGAUAUGACAUAGAACACCAAUUGCGAAGGCAGCUGGCUAAACAUAUAUUGACACUGAUGCUCGAAAGCGUGGGAAUCAAAC